rfam:Leuconostoc mesenteroides subsp. mesenteroides ATCC 8293, complete genome.
GCUGUCCACUAGGGGUGCCUUCUUGGCUGAGAUGAUAUUACUUAUCAAUCCCUUCGAACCUGAUCUAGUCAAUACUAGCGUAGGAAAGUGGUAUUCUUUUUAC